AGACGUGAUGACGUCAGGAAGAAAGGCGCCGAGUCGCCUCGGGCUUUGGCGCUGGGAAAGUGCGUCACGAGGUGAGCGUGUGGUAGGGGGCGGGGCUAAUGUGGGACUAUACCAUUAUUUUGGGUGACAGUAAAUCUCACAAGGAGAUGGAUUUGUAUUUUCUCCAUAUGUAAACCCAUUUCAUUUUGUUCUUUAAUACUAAUGCUUUUUGCAAACUUAUAAAAACAGUAAACCCCAAAGGCCCAAACUUCGCUCCACUCCGAGGAUAGUGAAGACUUCCGGCGGGGGGCGGGGAGGAGGAAGGGAACGCCCAGCCGCGUGCCGAAGAGCGCAGGCGCAGAGUGGUGGCGCGCGCUGGACGGCGCUGGGCCGGCGGCCGAAUUGUUGUCCCCGGAGGAGAUCGGCGCUUUAGGAGGCCAGGGAAGGCUUCCCGGAGGAUGCGGAGGAGGAAGAGGAUGGGCGGCUUUAGUGGUGACAAUGGUGGCACGAGCAAGUUCCUUCUUUUUUAUUAGUCCCGCAUCAUUGAGCGCCCACAGCGUCAUGUCCUAGUCUGAGCGCAGGGAGUUUGCGGUGAACUUGCCCUCUAGGCGUCAACAGGUGGGGUGUUAGACCUUGGCCAGAUCCUGCAAACAUGUAAAAACACUAACUGUAUUAAGGGAGCCGUGAGGGCCUCGCUAUGAGUCGAAAUUGACUCGACGGCAACGGGUUUGGAGGGCCUCAAAGAAGCCCUGGCAGCGCAGUGAUUAGAGCGCUUGGCUGCCAACCGACGGUCCGCCGUUGGAACCCUUCUCCGCGGGAGGAUGUGUCAGUCUGCUUCCAUAAAGAAAGAUAUACAGCCUUGGAAACCCUACGGGACAGUUCUAUUCUGUCCUGUAAGGUCUAAGGUCGCUUUGCGUCCAAAUCGACUAAGGAUGUGGGGUUUUUUGGUGUGGAGAGCCGGGAGCUGGCCAGGAAAGGCGCACCUCGAGCAAAGAUCUGAAGAGGAGUGCUAUUCAUUAGGCAAGAGCUGGGGAAGGACGUUCCAGGAGGAGGAAAAUCCUUGUGAAAAGAGCCAUGGCCACAUACGGGUUGUCCUGUCAUAGCCGUCAAAAUGAGGACCCGGACGUCUGUGAUCACAAACAGGCCACCGUUCUCCACGGGGGAGUCCUCUGUGCCAGCCCUGACAGGCUGUGGACUUGGGUGCGGUGCCACUGCAGCGUCUGAGAACAGAGGCAUUUGACCAUUUUGAUUUACAUUUAUGUGUGUUACACUCUUCAACAUGUCCAUGGUAGUAGGAGUUUUAAAAUACUAAAAUACAUGAAACUCUUGUUGCCUGUCACUGCAAAGUUAAAAAGUAGAGAGCAGGGUGAUUGAGAAUUCUACUCCUGGGGGUGUUGUACUUUGGUGCAAAAUUGGGUGAAUACACACUGUAGUUAGGGAUAAAAAUGAAGGGUUGAAAAUUGGGACAGGUCUUGGGAUUCUUGCUAGAAAACCAAAAGAGUAUCUGCCCAGAACUCUUCUCCCACUGUUGGAGGUCCAAGAAAGAGCAAGCUUUUUAAAAUCAGCUGCCACCAAGUUCAGUCCCUGGCUGUGCCUUGUCCAGCUGGGUGGCUUUGGUCAAGUUGCAUAAUCUCUCCGAUUGAGAGAGUCUUGUUUCUUAUCUAUAAAGCGAUGUUAGUAAUUUCCCGAAGUGCUGGGUUAGUAGGAUUGUAGACAAUGCAUAUGAAACUCAGAAUGUGCUCAGUACACAUAGCCAUGGUAUGAUCAAUUCAGUAACAUGGUUUUUCUUUGUUUUUAUUUUCUAUCUUGGUGAAAAUGUCGUGAUUUUACAGUCUUAGGGCAGAUGGAACCAUUAGGCGUUUCACAACCCACAGCUGAUUGUGUACUUUGUAUUUUCAUGUUUCCGACAGUUACUUUUUUUUUUAAUGCCUUUUAUGAAGGAUUUUGUCUUCCCCCUCAAAAAUCAAGAGGUGCUAUUAAAAUGGAAAUCAGGAUGUUUCUUUCAGAGUUCUCAGCACAUGUCAAAGGUUAACACUAGCUCUUCCUGACCCAGCUUUGAUCUCUGAUAGGUCAGUUCCAUGGUCUCCUAGCCUCACCCCCUGUAAUUCCUGGGGUGGGGGGAGCAGGGUACACAAAAAACGGAAGGGAAAUUGAGUGGGACUGAGUGAGGAUGAAAGGCAGUAAAAAUUACUGGCACACAUUGAUCCUCUAAGAAAAUCCUCCGUAUGUCCCCAAACCUAAAAGGCAAUAAGGCCACCAUGAAGUAGAUGAUGAGCCACAGCUUUGUGAAAAAGAAACUACUUCUCCACUGAAAUAAGGUACCAUGAUCCAUCCCACAUGUGUAGGGUGUCCUGAAUUCAUGAGAUCUUAAACAUGCUCAUGUUCUGUCCUGUGGGAUUACCUAUAGAAAUGACUAAUCUUGAAACAUGGAGUUCCAUAGCUGGCCAGGAAGUACUAGUCACCAAACCUGUACCUGCCUCCAGCUCUGUCCAAGCCCCAUGUUCCCCAUGGCCUUGGACCAGCCAGGCAUACAAGGGCAUGUGAAGUGGAGCACAGCAUGAACUUGGCAGUGAAGCUCAGGCCGUGAGCAUCCAGUUGAACAUUUCCUCUUCAAGACGCCAGUUUCCAACCACCUAGUUUGUUGUAGCCAGUUCUUGACUUGGCCCUCAUUAGUGAUUUGACAGUCAGAUGGCUUGGCAUAGGCAGAUGUUCUGUUCUGAAUGGCAGGUGACAAAGCUGACUUUGGCCAAAUAAAAAGGAGUGUGUUAAAAAGAUCAGAAGUUCUCUACAUCAUUGGGAAAGCUGGAGAAUCAGGCUUAAGACUACACCUCCAGGAAUGACACCACAGCACUGGUCUGAUGGGGAAAUUGCUGCUGUUGCUGCCCCUGAGUAGAUUGCUACAAUGUUCAUUGUUGCCACUUCUACACCAGGAACUCAGUUUGAACACAGGGCUCCAGCAACCAUUUUGUGAUAAUCAAGAAACCCUAAUAUUGGAAGCCAUUUGCCCAGGGUGGCAGAGCAGAAAAGCCUCAGUACCUGAUGACCAUGGACCUGUUAUACCUGCCCUGGACCACCUAACAUCACUCUUCUUAUGUGGUGGGGAAAAAAAAUAAACCUGUUUCUCCUUUAA